GACGAACGCUGGCGGCGCGCCUAACACAUGCAAGUCGAACGAGCGAGAGAGAGCUUGCUUUCUCAAGCGAGUGGCGAACGGGUGAGUAACGCGUGAGGAACCUGCCUCAAAGAGGGGGACAACAGUUGGAAACGACUGCUAAUACCGCAUAAGCCCACGACCCGGCAUCGGGUAGAGGGAAAAGGAGCAAUCCGCUUUGAGAUGGCCUCGCGUCCGAUUAGCUAGUUGGUGAGGUAACGGCCCACCAAGGCGACGAUCGGUAGCCGGACUGAGAGGUUGAACGGCCACAUUGGGACUGAGACACGGCCCAGACUCCUACGGGAAGCAGCAGUGGGGAAUAUUGCACAAUGGGGGAAACCCUGAUGCAGCGACGCCGCGUGGAGGAAGAAGGUCUUCGGAUUGUAAACUCCUGUUGUGGAGGAAGAUAAUGACGGUACUCAACAAGGAAGUGACGGCUAACUACGUG
rnacentral:rRNA from 1 species